GAGCUUUCCCAUCGGAGCUGACACAUUUACAAGAAAAUUAUGCAAAAUGUUUAAGGAGUCUUGUCAUCAUUAUGCUUGCAGGGAUACAGUAAAAUGGAAAAUCUGUAUCGUCAGCAGGUGGGAGACCUGAUAUGAUCAGGUAAGCAGAUGAACAGAACUGCAGAAAUCACUAAUUCCCCUACUGGGCAACUUUUUAAAGCUCCAGUGGGAAGUUUUUGACUAUAACAGACUCUGAAAUUAGCACUAUUUUUGCCAGGCAUCUUGGAGGGCAACUGCUAUGCAGAAGUACUCUAGAUGAAAACAGUCAGCUUAGACUAGUAUAAAGACAGGUACCAGGAAAACCACAAUACGACUGGCCAUGCCCUGAGUCAAAAAGUAUUCUGACUUAAAACUUCCAACCUUAUUCUUAAACAUAAUUAUCAAAUUUGUUCACACAACACUCUGUCUGAGAAGUAUCUUUUUUUAUUUAAACUUGUUGAGCCAUGUCAAUAAUUGUAAUAAUGUUUUGUUAUUCAUUUAAGUCAAACCUAACAUUUCUUCUUACACUAUUUCUUAACCAUUUAAUGUCUAACCAGCUGUUCAUUUUUUUGUUGAUACAGGUCUGUAAAGUCGGCUGCUGUGAUUGUUCCAGUUCUUUUCCUAACCUUUUCCUCAUCUGACAAAGAAACUGGACUCUUAUGCUGCGUUCGAGUUACCUAGGAGGUCAGAAAAUGACGUCACACCCAAGUUCCUAGCAUUUCCGAUACCAAGUUGAAAAAAAAAGCAAAAUCGUAGGCCUGAAACAAGAUGGCUACAUCUACCAGUUAGUAAGUUAUUUUAGCACUUGCCUUAUGUUCAGACAAGGCAAGUGCUAAAAUAACUUUCGUAGAUGUAGCCAUUUUGUUUUCACCUCCGAUUUUGCUCUAAUCCGACUUGGUAACGGAAACGCUGGUAACUCUGGUGUGACAUCAUUUUCAGCUCCGACAUCUGACUUCCGAGGUAACUCGGACGCAGCAUUAAUUUUCAACCUUUUUAUCAAAGAAAACACAAUUUAUUUCAUGAUUAACAGUAAAAUCAACAUCCAACACAACCUGUAAGCAAAUACUUUAGAAAUUAGCCUUUUUUUUUUUACGGAUGUGUCAUCUGCUGAUUUUAUUUUUCAUGCACAUUAUUGUUUUUUAAUCAUAAUGAACUUAAAGAUUAAAUCAAAAAUUUAAAAAGGAUUUAUCUAACCUGUUUUAUAAUAUUAUGUGUAAUCCAGGUAAUUCAAGAUGAGAUCACAUACAAUAUCUCUGUAAACAAA